ACAUUUUCUAACGUAGAAAACCCUAGUUUGUCGAAACCAUAGGUAUAUAAGUGUAUUUUUGUUUGGCUGGGCCCCUCUUCUCAUUCUUUUGUUUCUGCUGCUGCCCUAAACUUUUUUUUCCUCUUUCACUUUUUCCCUGUGUCGUUUUCUCCUCUUUUAUUUUCUUUUCUUCCUCUUUCUCUCUUUUCUUUCUACCUGUUAUUUCUUGCACCCUUCUUGGGCUAUCGAUUCUUUUUCUUUUUCUUGAAUCAUCAUCAAUCGUUUGGUUCGUUGGAAUCAGUAGCUUUGUGCAUUUGCCUCUCUGUUCUAUUUUACACGAUUGUGAUCCUAAUAGUAGUUUGGAUCGAAUCUUGAUGAUGUCAAAGCGGAUCUGAAUCGUAAGAGUCCGCUAAAGUGUUGCAGGGGCGUGUGGGUGAAAGCGUGUGUCUAACUAUGUGUGUAUGGGCUUGCCCGAAUGUUUGAGUGCUUAUUUUUGCGUUUUGGUUCUUGAUUUUAUCAUAUAAUAUUAAUUAUUUUAUUCUCAAGGUUUCGAUUGUGAUAACAACUCCAAAUAUGGUUGGAAAAUAUUCUUUGAUGUGGUACUGAGAAACUAACGAAUCAACAUAGUGGUAAAUGAGACCUGUAUGGUAGAUCUAGUUGUAGUAUGUGCCAUUUUUCUAAAUCGUUAAUGUUGAAUAUGUGUAUAAUGUAGAUUGAGUGUUAAUCCUGCAUAUAUCACUGAUGCAUGCUUACUGUUACUGUUUAGCCAACAAACUGUAGCCGUUUGCAUGAUAAUUGUAUGUUAAAAUUGUUACUGUUAUUGUUUUCUAACAUUCAUAGCCUGUGAUACUAAUGCAUUGGGAUUUGGGUGGUUGAAAGAGGAAGUUCAAGCAUUAAAUGCCGAAUUGAUUCACCGAUCAUUUACUGAUGGUUCAUCCACAUGAGCUAAGGCUCCUAUUGAUUUACUAGCGGCUCAUCCGCAAAUAUGAUUUUGGUAUGUAGGGCUAGAAGAGUUCUAGGUAACUCUUAUUGUGGUGUGUAAGGUUGGAUUCGGUAGUGUACUGUACUAACAUUCAUAAGCAUUUUAGAGUUACUGUGUUUUAUGUGAAUAUCGUGAUACUGAUAUAUACUGUAUACUGCAAACUUGUAUGCUGUUAUUUACUGCUUUAUAUACUCACUGCUUAUGUGUUAUUACCA